rnacentral:rRNA from 2 species
UUAAGCGACUAAGCGUACACGGUGGAUGCCCUGGCAGUCAGAGGCGAUGAAGGACGUGCUAAUCUGCGAUAAGCGUCGGUAAGGUGAUAUGAACCGUUAUAACCGGCGAUUUCCGAAUGGGGAAACCCAGUGUGUUUCGACACACUAUCAUUAACUGAAUCCAUAGGUUAAUGAGGCGAACCGGGGGAACUGAAACAUCUAAGUACCCCGAGGAAAAGAAAUCAACCGAGAUUCCCCCAGUAGCGGCGAGCGAACGGGGAGCAGCCCAGAGCCUGAAUCAGUGUGUGUGUUAGUGGAAGCGUCUGGAAAGGCGCGCGAUACAGGGUGACAGCCCCGUACACAAAAAUGCACAUGCUGUGAGCUCGAUGAGUAGGGCGGGACACGUGGUAUCCUGUCUGAAUAUGGGGGGACCAUCCUCCAAGGCUAAAUACUCCUGACUGACCGAUAGUGAACCAGUACCGUGAGGGAAAGGCGAAAAGAACCCCGGCGAGGGGAGUGAAAAAGAACCUGAAACCGUGUACGUACAAGCAGUGGGAGCACGCUUAGGCGUGUGACUGCGUACCUUUUGUAUAAUGGGUCAGCGACUUAUAUUCUGUAGCAAGGUUAACCGAAUAGGGGAGCCGAAGGGAAACCGAGUCUUAACUGGGCGUUAAGUUGCAGGGUAUAGACCCGAAACCCGGUGAUCUAGCCAUGGGCAGGUUGAAGGUUGGGUAACACUAACUGGAGGACCGAACCGACUAAUGUUGAAAAAUUAGCGGAUGACUUGUGGCUGGGGGUGAAAGGCCAAUCAAACCGGGAGAUAGCUGGUUCUCCCCGAAAGCUAUUUAGGUAGCGCCUCGUGAAUUCAUCUCCGGGGGUAGAGCACUGUUUCGGCAAGGGGGUCAUCCCGACUUACCAACCCGAUGCAAACUGCGAAUACCGGAGAAUGUUAUCACGGGAGACACACGGCGGGUGCUAACGUCCGUCGUGAAGAGGGAAACAACCCAGACCGCCAGCUAAGGUCCCAAAGUCAUGGUUAAGUGGGAAACGAUGUGGGAAGGCCCAGACAGCCAGGAUGUUGGCUUAGAAGCAGCCAUCAUUUAAAGAAAGCGUAAUAGCUCACUGGUCGAGUCGGCCUGCGCGGAAGAUGUAACGGGGCUAAACCAUGCACCGAAGCUGCGGCAGCGACGCUGAUGCGUUGUUGGGUAGGGGAGCGUUCUGUAAGCCUGCGAAGGUGUGCUGUGAGGCAUGCUGGAGGUAUCAGAAGUGCGAAUGCUGACAUAAGUAACGAUAAAGCGGGUGAAAAGCCCGCUCGCCGGAAGACCAAGGGUUCCUGUCCAACGUUAAUCGGGGCAGGGUGAGUCGACCCCUAAGGCGAGGCCGAAAGGCGUAGUCGAUGGGAAACAGGUUAAUAUUCCUGUACUUGGUGUUACUGCGAAGGGGGGACGGAGAAGGCUAUGUUGGCCGGGCGACGGUUGUCCCGGUUUAAGCGUGUAGGCUGGUUUUCCAGGCAAAUCCGGAAAAUCAAGGCUGAGGCGUGAUGACGAGGCACUACGGUGCUGAAGCAACAAAUGCCCUGCUUCCAGGAAAAGCCUCUAAGCAUCAGGUAACAUCAAAUCGUACCCCAAACCGACACAGGUGGUCAGGUAGAGAAUACCAAGGCGCUUGAGAGAACUCGGGUGAAGGAACUAGGCAAAAUGGUGCCGUAACUUCGGGAGAAGGCACGCUGAUAUGUAGGUGAAGUCCCUCGCGGAUGGAGCUGAAAUCAGUCGAAGAUACCAGCUGGCUGCAACUGUUUAUUAAAAACACAGCACUGUGCAAACACGAAAGUGGACGUAUACGGUGUGACGCCUGCCCGGUGCCGGAAGGUUAAUUGAUGGGGUUAGCCGCAAGGCGAAGCUCUUGAUCGAAGCCCCGGUAAACGGCGGCCGUAACUAUAACGGUCCUAAGGUAGCGAAAUUCCUUGUCGGGUAAGUUCCGACCUGCACGAAUGGCGUAAUGAUGGCCAGGCUGUCUCCACCCGAGACUCAGUGAAAUUGAACUCGCUGUGAAGAUGCAGUGUACCCGCGGCAAGACGGAAAGACCCCGUGAACCUUUACUAUAGCUUGACACUGAACAUUGAGCCUUGAUGUGUAGGAUAGGUGGGAGGCUUGGAAGUGUGGACGCCAGUCUGCAUGGAGCCGACCUUGAAAUACCACCCUUUAAUGUUUGAUGUUCUAACGUUGACCCGUAAUCCGGGUUGCGGACAGUGUCUGGUGGGUAGUUUGACUGGGGCGGUCUCCUCCUAAAGAGUAACGGAGGAGCACGAAGGUUGGCUAAUCCUGGUCGGACAUCAGGAGGUUAGUGCAAUGGCAUAAGCCAGCUUGACUGCGAGCGUGACGGCGCGAGCAGGUGCGAAAGCAGGUCAUAGUGAUCCGGUGGUUCUGAAUGGAAGGGCCAUCGCUCAACGGAUAAAAGGUACUCCGGGGAUAACAGGCUGAUACCGCCCAAGAGUUCAUAUCGACGGCGGUGUUUGGCACCUCGAUGUCGGCUCAUCACAUCCUGGGGCUGAAGUAGGUCCCAAGGGUAUGGCUGUUCGCCAUUUAAAGUGGUACGCGAGCUGGGUUUAGAACGUCGUGAGACAGUUCGGUCCCUAUCUGCCGUGGGCGCUGGAGAACUGAGGGGGGCUGCUCCUAGUACGAGAGGACCGGAGUGGACGCAUCACUGGUGUUCGGGUUGUCAUGCCAAUGGCACUGCCCGGUAGCUAAAUGCGGAAGAGAUAAGUGCUGAAAGCAUCUAAGCACGAAACUUGCCCCGAGAUGAGUUCUCCCUGACUCCUUGAGAGUCCUGAAGGAACGUUGAAGACGACGACGUUGAUAGGCCGGGUGUGUAAGCGCAGCGAUGCGUUGAGCUAACCGGUACUAAUGAACCGUGAGGCUUAACCUU